AACGUAGGAGGCGAGCGUUAUCCGGAUUUACUGGGCCUAAAGGGUGUGCAGGCGGAGGGGUAAGUGGUGCAUGAAAGCGCUGCGCUUAACGUGGCGAGGCUGUGCCAGACUGCCCAUCUUGAGGGUGUGAGAGGGACGUGGAAUUCCGGGUGUAGUGGUGAAAUGCGUAGAGAUCCGGAGGAACACCAGAGGCGCAGGCGGCGUCCUGGCACAUACCUGACGCUCAGACACGACAGCAUGGGGAGCGAACGGG
rnacentral:rRNA from 1 species